CUGAUUUUUGUUGAACAAUUAGAAAAUACUUUAAAGUUAUUGAAAACUUGGAGGAGGUCGUAAUUAUCAGAAACACAUAAUACACCUAAACAUAAAUUAAGGCCUUUGUUUUAAAAUUAGAUUUUGGAGCAAGAAAAUAAGCUAAAUAAUUAUGUUCUUGAAAUAUAGGUAAGUACAAAAAGUGUGCUCUGAAUACAAAAUAUAUAUUUUUAGAAUCUUAAAUCCAUGAGUUACUUCUUUUCACAUACAAAUCCCAACAUCUUGUUUCUGUAAUCAGUUCAUGUCUAUUAGGUUCGUAGUUAUGUGAAUUGUGUGAAUGCUCAUGAACACCAAAUCAUUUGGUCAAUCUUAGGAGUUUUUUGGCACUUGUAUGCUCUCUUUGGGGUUAAACACAGCCUCCUUUAAGUUAGAGAAGUAACUGCCAAUUAACUACCUUUGGUAAGACUAUCAUAGUAAUACAGGGAGCUGUACGUUACAUUAACCAAGAAUCUUUCUCCUGUAAAAUGUGCCUACAGUGUUUUCCAUGGAGAUCACCUGUUACCAAGUUGUGAGUAAAUUCAAACCUGUCCUCAUUUAAAAUACUCCGUUCAUAUUAAAACAUGAGAUGUUUCCUCCUUUGAAGCCAGACUGUGAAAAGAUCUGAUUGAGACUCUUUCGAAUGUUUUUCAUAGAGAAAAUUAAGACAAAUUUAAACAAAUGUCAGUUUCUGAGAAAUUGCAGGGUGUAAUCUAUUCUAGAGUAUCAUUCACGAACAAGACAGUUUCCUACUUACGGGUUUGGGCAGUUCAGCCUGUAUAACUUACAGAGGUAAGUUCUGAAGUUCAGGCAUAAAUGGAUCCUGUGAAUUUUCACAAAAUAUUUCUGAAAGUCCCUUGAGAAAAAUAAACUCCAGCUAGUAGCCAGCAGUUUGUGCUCCAGAAGACUCCAUAUAAACCUGGUAUAGUCAAGAAGUGUCUUUCUUACUUUUCCUCUGAGAAGUAUAAAAAAGGAGGAGGUAAUUGUCCCUCAUAGGCCAACCAACACCAUCCCAAAGCCAAAUGUUCUUGGUUCAUAUCGCCAGAAUUCUAGGGUUUUUUUUCAAAAAUUAGAAAUACCAAAAUUUUAUUCCAAGGGGUCAUGAUAUUUUUUUUUAACAUUUAUUUAUUUUUGAGAGAAAGAGACAGAGCAUGAGUGGGAGAGGGACAGAGAGAGAGGGAGACACAGAAUUGGAAGCAAGCUCUGGGCUCUGAGCUGCAGCACAGAGCCUGAUGCGGGGCUUGAAGUCACAAGCAGUGAGAUCAUGACCUGAGCUAAAGUCAGACGCUUAACUGACUGAGCCACCCAGGCACCCCUGGGUCAUGAUAUAUUUUCAUGUAAGCGCAGAAACUAUGAGAAUGAAUCAAGGCUUAAAGCACAGAAACAUAAAGUGUAAACUAGAUUAAGACAGAUAAUAUUACUAAAUUCAUUAUUGCAGAUGACAUUAAGAACAGCCUUGCUGUUACCACAGAUGGCAUAGCAAUUAACUCAGUGUAUCAAAACACAGCUAUACUCUUAUAAGUAAUGUAAUAAUGACAUUUGAAAUGUUUUCUUUUUCGUGAAAAAGAUUCAUUUGGGUAGUGUUUUCCUCCUCUCAACUUUAAACUUCUUGACGAGAAGAACAGUAUUUCAUUCAUCUUGUGGUAAACCUCCCUUACCAUGCUGCCUUAGACAUAAUAGCUAUUCACCCAUAUUUACUAUAUUCAGUUGAAUUGUAUAAAUCUGAGUUUAAAAUGUUUGAUAUAUAUUCAAACAUUUCUAUAUUCAGCAUACUAGUACAAAUUAUAAAGGCUUUCUUGAAAACUGGCUAAAGCAUAUUUAGCUGUUAAGAUUCUAGGGGAAAAUGUGAUUAGAUGUGAACCUCCUCCACAAUAUAGAAUAGCUAUAGGCUCCAAGAUAAAAUAAUGAUUUUCUCAUUUUACAGUACAUUUAUGAAAUGCCUAUUACAAUUAUGUACUUUCUGAAAAUUGGUUAUAAUAAAGAGAUCCUGGCCAUUAUAAAAUUUUCACCUAGUCAUAGGCAAAAUAAAUGAGAGAAUUACAGUGAUUCAAAUAUAGAAAGCAUUUAAAUUGGAAAAAAGGGGAAUUUGUACUUUUAAAACAUCAUAGUGUUCAUUUCUCAUAUUCUGUAUGGAAUAAUAUGGAAAGAUAAUAUUUUCCUUUGCAGAUGCUUAAGUUUAGAUAUAUGUUUAGGAUUGUAAUCAUCUUUGUUAAGUACCAGUUAACAUUUAUUGUUGAAUAUUUAUAGGUAACGCCACUAAUUUAUAUAUGCCUUAAGAGUAGUGAUAAACUGUGUAGAGUAGUGAUUUACCAAUUAUCCCUUCAAGAAUUUCUGAUAAUUUGCUAGUUUUCACAAGUUUGGGUGAGGAUACCCUAAUGAUGACUUAAAAUCUGUAUGUCAAAAUAUAUGGGUUAAAAAUAAAAAAGCACCGUUAAGUCAGCAGUGUUCAGGAAUCCAAGAAGUAUGUAAUCAUGGAAGUGUUUGUAGUAAGAACAUUAGGAUUGCUAUAUACAUAUUUAAUGUAAAAAAAAGAAGAAAGAAUGAAAGCAUUUUAAAUAUUCAAGUGCCCCAUGUUAUAUCUUUUUUAAGCUGUGAAAACAAUUAAUACUAAGUAUUAAAAUAAAUGGGACCUAGAAAUAGACCUUAAUAUUUCAAUACUCAGUAAUAUCUCUAACUAGUAAGCCAACAUUUUUGAAAAUAAAAAGGCAUACUAAUUAUGUUGCUCUUUCUAAAAAAGAGUAUUACAUUGUUGAGUAAAGAACAGUUUUAUAUAAAUAAUUAAAUUUAAGUAUCUAAAAUAGUGUUUCAUUUAUUUCUCAUACUUUUAACUAUCUUUGUUUUUAACAAAUAUCUAUUAAUGUAAUAGCACAUUAUGUAAUAUAUAAAUAUAUAGAUAUAAGUAUAGAUACGAGCAUUUACUGUAUAUAUGCACUCUCAUAUAUAAAAAUUUACUGAUAAAAUUGUAAAAUCGGAAGUCUGGCAACCCCUGCUCUUGGUAACUGAGUGGUGCAGUAAAGCCAGCCCUAAGAAAAAUCUAUGAAAUAGAUGACGUUUCUCUUUCAUGCAUAAUUAACAUCAUUCCAGCUGUGGCUCCUAUUCUCCUGGUGGUUAUCUAGGAUUCUUCUAAUUGCUCUUAAUUAUACCAUUAUAUAGUCUUAAGUGCUCAAAAUAGACACUUAAGGGAAUUAUCAUUGUAAAUUACCAUUUCAUGACUGAUUUAUGUAUUCAUUGACAUCUACUAUUUGUCAGGAACAUUCUAGUCUGUGAGCAGUGAAUACAACAGACAAAAACUCUGCCCUCCUAGAGCUUAUAUUCAAGUUAGAAAAGAGAAAAAUUGAUUAGGAAAGUAUAUGAAAUGUAGUAUGUUAGAUGGUUAUAAAUGCUAAGGAGAAAAAUAGAGCUUAGAGGGGAAAAGAAAGAGUGAUGGCAAGUGGAUGGUACUAUAACUUUAGGUAAAAUAUUCUGAGAACUGAACAUACUAUAGGAGCAAAGCAUAUGGAUAUCUUGGGCAAAAGGGUUAGGGCAAGAAAAAGCAGCUACAAAUGUCCUAAAACAUGAGGAUGCCUAGUAUGUCAAAGAAACAUUCGGGAUGGGAUGUGUGAGGGGGAGAGUAGAAGGAGAUGGGGAGGUCAAAGAUACUGUAGAACUUUAGGCCACUGUAAUUUCUUUGCAUUUUUCCACAGUGAAAUGGGAGGCCGUUGGGGUGUUUUGAGCACAAAAGUAUAAUUAUCUGAUUUGUAUUUUAGGAAGAUGAAUGUGAUCAUUACAUCGAUCCCAGAUUAGAAGGGGACAAGGGCAGAAAUAAGGAGACCAAAGGCUUUGCGAUCAUUGGGCCAGCAGAUAGAUGGCUUAGACUAGAGUGGCAGAAGUGGAGGUAAUGACAGGUGAUUUGGUUCUGGAUAUAUGUAUACAAAAAGCCAAAAAAUAUGUGUUAGUAGGGGCGCCUGGGUGGCUCAGUCGGUAAGCGUUUGACUUCAGCUCAGGUCAUGAUCUCACGGUUUGUGAGUUCAAGCCCCACGUCAGGCUCUGUGCUGACAGCUCAGAGCCUGGAGCCUGCUUUGGAUUCUCUGUCUCCCUCUCUCUGUGCCCUUUGCCCACUCACACUCUGUCUCUGUCUCUCAAAAAUAGAUAAGCAUAAUAAAUAAAUAAAAUAAGUAAAUAAAAGAUAAGUAUGUGUUGGUAGUUUGGCUGUGGAAUAUUAAAAAAAAAGGAGACCAAGGAUAGCUUCCAAGUUAUGGGCCUAAACAACUGAAAGAACCAUGUUGCCAUUUCCUUAGAUGGAGAAGACUGAGAAGAGAAAAUUUUGGAUGAA